GUAGUCUCGCACAGAUGCAUAUCAAUAAGCGGAGGAAAAGAAACUAACAAGGAUUCCCCUAGUAACGGCGAGUGAAGCGGGAAGAGCUCAAAUUUGAAAUCUUAAAGGGUUUCCCUUUACGAAUUGUAGUUUAAAGAAGUGUUUUCUGUUGAGGUUUUGGUAAAAGUUCUUUGGAAUAGGACAUCAUAGAGGGUGAGAAUCCCGUAUUUGACCUUUACUUUCAACUUUGUGAUACACUUUCAAAGAGUCGGAUUGUUUGGGAAUGCAGUCCAAAAUGGGUGGUAAAUUUCAUCUAAAGCUAAAUAUUGGCGAGAGACCGAUAGCGAACAAGUACCGUGAGGGAAAGAUGAAAAGAACUUUGAAAAGAGAGUUAAACAGUACGUGAAAUUGUCAAAAGGGAAGCGUUUGACACCAGUGUUGUUUUUCUGAAAAUCAAUUAAAGAACUGUUUAUGCUAAGCUGUUUAGACUUUAUCAGCUAACUGUUUAGUUUUGAGCUUUUCUUUAAUGCACUUUUCAGUUAACAAGUCAACAUCAAUUUCUUUUGCUGUAAAAAAGCUUGAGGAAGGUGGCUUGAGAUUCGUCUUAAGUGUUUAUAGCCUCUUGCCUAUGCAGUCGGAGAGAUUGAGGUCUGCAGCGUAGAUCCUUCGGGGCUAAAUGCAUUUGUGCUAAGUUAUAGCAUUUUAUAGACAACUUGUUGACUAUGAUUUGUCUUGUAGCUCACUCGCUUAUGUUAUUUUACCUACGCUUAGGAUGUUGAAGACUCUACAGAGAUA
rnacentral:rRNA from 1 species